rnacentral:lncRNA from 1 species
ACUACUCAGUGGAAACAUGCAAAAUACUUUCUUUACCCAUGUCAGGCCUCUGAGCCCAAGCUAAGCCAUCAUAUCCCCUGUGACCUGCAUGUACACAUCCGGAUGGCCGAUUCCUGCCUUAAUUGAUGACAUUCCACCACAAAAGAAGUGAAAAUGGACUGUUCCUGCCUUAACGGAUGGCAUUAUCUUGUGAAAUUCCUUCUCCUGGCUCAAAAGCUCCCCUACUGAGCACCUUGUGACCCCCACUCCUGCCCGCCAGAGAACAACCCCCCUUUUCCUUUACCUACCCAAAUCCUAUAAAACGGCCCCACCCCUAUCUCCCUUUGCUGACUCUCUUUUCGGACUCAGCCCGCCUGCACCCAGGUGAAAUAAAUAGCCAUGUUGCUCACACAAAGCCUGUUUGGUGGUCUCUUCACACAGAUGCACAUGAAAUUUGGUGCCGUGACUCGGAUCGAGGGACCUCCCUUGGGAGAUCAAUCCCCUGUCCUCCUGCUAUUUGUUCCAUGAGAAAGAUCCACCUACGACCUCAGGUCCUCAGACCAACCAGCCCAAGAAACAUCUCACCAAUUUCAAAUCCAGUAAGUGGCCUCUUUUUCCUCUCUUCUCCAACCUCUCUCACUGUCCCUCAACCACUUUCACCUUUCCACUCUUCAAUCUCUCCCUUCUUUUAAUUUCAAUUCCUUUCAUUUUCUGAUAGAGACAAAGGAGACACGUUUUAUCUGUGGACCCAAAACUCUGGCACUGGUCACGGACUAGGGAAGGCAGCCUUCCCUUGGUGUUUAAUCAUUGCAGGGACACCUCUCUGAUUAUUCAUCCAGGUUUCAGAGGUGUCAGACCACGCAGGGACGCCUACCUUGGUCCUUCACCCUUAGCAGCAAGUCCCACUUUUCUGGGGUAGGGGCAAGUACCCCAACCCCUUCUCUCCGUGUCUCUACCCCUUCUGCGCCUUUCUGGGGGGCAAGGAACCCCCAACCCCUUCUCCUUCACUCUUAGUGGCAAGUCCCGCUUUUCUAGAGGAGGGGCAAGUGCCCCAAGCUCAUAUCUCUGCGCCCCAAUCCCUUAUUUCCGCACCCCAACCUCUUAUAUCUCUGCGCCGCAAUCCCUUAUUUCUGUGCACCGACCUCUUAUCUCUGUGCCCCAAUCCCUCAUUUCCGUGCCCCAACCUCUUAUAUCUCUGUGCCCCGAUCCCUUAUUUCCAUGCCCCAACCUCUUAUAUCUCUGCACCCUGAUCCCUUAUUUCCACACCCCAACCUCGUAUCUCUGCACCCCAACCCCUUUCCCGCUUUUCUGGAGGGUAAGAACCCCCGAACCGCUUCCCUCCAUGUCUCUACUCUCCCUUUUCCUUAAACUUGCCUCUUUCACUAUGGGCAACAUUCCACCCUCCAUUCCCCCUUCUUCUCCCUUAGCCUGUGUUCUUAAGAACUUAAAACCUCUUCAACUCUCACCUGACCUAAAAUCUAAGCACUUUAUUUUCUUCUGCAAUGCCGCUUGACCCCAAUACAAACUUGACAGUAGUUCCAAAUAGCCAGAAAACAGCACUUUCAAUUUUUCCACCCUGCAAGAUCUAAAUAAUUCUUGUCGUAAAAUGGGCAAACGGUCUGAGAUGCCUGACGUCCAGGCAUUCUUUUACACAUCGGUCCCUCCCUAGUCUCUGUGCCCAGCGCAACUCAUCCCAAAUCUUCCUUCUUUCCCUCCCACCUGUCCCCUCAGUCCCAACCCCAAGUGUCACUGAGUCUUUCUAAUCUUCCUUUUCUACAGACCCAUCUGACCUCUCCCCUCCUCCCCAGGCUGCUCCUCGCCAGGCCGAGCUAGGUCCCAAUUCUUCCUCAGCCUCCGCUCCUCCACCCUAUAAUCCUUUUAUCACCUCCCCUCCUCACUCCCGGUCCAGCUUGCAGUUUCGUUCCGUGACUAGCCCUCCCCCACCUGCCCAGCAAUUUACUCUUAAGAAGGUGGCUGGAGCUAAAGGCAUAGUCAAGGUUAAUGCUCCUUUUUCUUUAUCCCAAAUCGGAUAGCAUUUAGGCUCUUUUUCAUCAAAUAUAAAAAUCCAGCCCAGUUCAUGACUCGUUUGGCAGCAACCCUGAGACACUUUACAGCCCUAGACCCUAAAAGUUCAAAAGGCCGUCUUAUUCUCAAAAUACAUUUUAUUACCAAUCUGCUCCCAACAUUAAAUAAAACUCCAAAAAUUAAAUUCCGGCCCUCAAACCCCACAACAGGAUUUAAUUAACCUCGCCUUCAAGGUGUACAAUAAUAGAAAAAAGUUGCAAUUCCUUGCCUCCACUGUGAGACAAACCCCAGCCACAUCUCCAGCACACAAGAACUUCCAAAUGCCUGAACCACAGUGGCCAGGCGUUCCUCCAGAACCUCCUCCCCCAGGAGCUUGCUACAAGUGCCAGAAAUCUGGCCACCAGGCCAAGGAAUGCCUGCAGCCCAGGAUUCCUCCUAAGCCGCGUCCCAUCUGUGCGGGACCCCACUGGAAAUCGGACUGUUCAACUCACCUGGCAGCCACUCCCAGAGCCCCUGGAACUCUGGCCUAAGGCUCUCUGACUCCUUCCCAGAUCUUCUUGGCUUAGCGGCUGAAGACUGACACUGCCCGAUCACCUCGGAAGCCCCCUAGACCAUCACGGAUGCUGAGCUUCGGGUAACUCGCACAGUGGAAGACCUGUUCCUUCUACCCAAGAAAGAACAGUUAAUGAAGCCACAUGAGCAUCCCUCCCUGCCAACAGGUGUACACCUUAGAGAAGAGACAGACAAGUAUAUGACGUAAUCGGAUAAAUGUCUCGACAAUCUAUUACAGCAGCUCAACAAAGGGCCACCUAAUUGAACCUGGAAGUAUCAGGAAGGCUUCCUGGAAAACGUGAUAGCUAAGUGGAGUUUUUAACAAUAGUAGUAAUAAUAACAACCUUGUUAUUCUAAAUGGUUCAUAUUUAUUUUUUAAUAAAAAAUAUUUCAUAUUUUUUAUUUAUGAAUAAAUAUUUAAUAUUUGCAGCAGCCCCAUGAUCAAUGUACUAUUAUUAUCCAUUUUACAGAUAAGCAGGUGGAGGUAAAAAGGGGUUAAGUUACUUGCCCAAGUCAGUACAGACAGAGAGUGAAAGGGUCAGGAUAUAAAUCUAGUCUAGCCUGAAUCCAUAGCCCAUUUUUAACCACCCACUAUGCUAAAAUCUUUUCUAUUUCAAGCAGAGGAAAGAAGGUGUUCAAUGUGCUGAGAUAUGAGAAAACACCAAGCAUUCAGGGACCUGCAAGCAGGUCAAUAAAGUUAAAGCAUAGUGUAUGAGUAAUGAGUGCCAAAAAUAAGUGUAACUUUAUCAGUAAGAAUUGCAGGCACUGUUGGUUAUAACUUUUGAUUCACGUACACUGCUCAGAAAGACAAAGUUGUGCUGCAAUAACAACACAACUUCAAAAUUUCAGUGGCUUAAAACAACAAAUGUUUAUUUCUUGCUCAUAUGACACAUCCAAUAUGGAAAGUUCUGCUCAUGAGACCCACUUAGAAACCAAGGCUAAUGUGGGCCAUAUCUUAACUCUUGGCUUCCAGGAUUGUUCUGGCAGGAAAAGAGAGAAUUGCGGAAUCAAGCACCCGCAGUUAAAUGCUUUGGCCCAGAAGUGAUGUGUGUCACAUUUCAUUGUCCAAUGCUAGUUACAUGAUGAUACCUAACUUCAAGAGGGCAGGGAAGUACAAUCCCUGUACUUGUACUUUGAAUCUGAGCAGUACUUGAGAUCAGUAACUGCAUACCAUAAGUUAUUGUCUUCAGUAUUGAAAAGUAAUACCAUGCAGCACAUAAAAAUACGAUUUGGGCCGGGCGUGAGACACCACACCCAGCCAGCCCUAUGUUAUUUCUAGGAAAAGCCUAGCCCUGGGAGGGGCAGUCUCUCCCUACUCAGCGAGAAAUGCCAGGGUAUCAAAAGUACAGAAAAUAAGAAAAUAUAGUUAAUAUAAUCUGCCCUGUGAUGAGCAGAUGUCAAAUACAGAAUCUAAGAAAACAUGGAGCAAAAGACAUGGCUUCUUCGUGGCUGCCUAGUAAUCCAUCACAAAUUACACAAAAAUGUAUAAAAAUGUAUUCCACAAAUGACACAGUAGUUCUGCUUUUAUUGGAUAGUUAUCUCUUUGUAGAUGUUUGAUAUUCUAAAUAAUUCCUCAAUGAAUGGACAGAGAGGAAAAAAGAUAAAAAAGAGAAUUCAUGAAUUUACUUUAACUGUUAUAUAUAAAUAUGUGUAAUAUGUAUAAUUAUGUAUGAUACAAUAUAUAAUAUGUAUGUAAAAUAUAACAUAAUCAUAUGAUUAUGAUACAACUGAAUACAGAAAUGAUUAUACCAUUAUGAUGAUAUAUAAUAUUUGUUUGCUUUUGUCUACCUCAGGAAGUUAGUAAAGCAAGCUUAGAUCUGUAUUUACUGACUUCUAGAAAUGCCCACAAUAUAUUGACAUGUGAAAGAAGCAUACUACAGAAUAAUGCAUGUAUUUAAAGUUCAUUUCAGCACUAACAAUCAACCAACCAAACCCCUUUAGAUAAUAUGCUAUAUAUAUUCAUUUCAACAAGGAGAUAGGUAUGAAGGUACAUACCAGACCACUAAAAUUGGUUUCCACUGAGGAAUGCGAAGCAUAGGUAGAAGGAAGGCAGGGAGAGAUAAUUAACUUUGUUUUUAUACUUUUUCAUAUUGUAUCAUUUAAUGUAUUACAACAGAAAUGUAUUAGUAUAAUUUGAAGACAUUCAAUAAAUACAUUUUUUUAAAAAAGAUAAAAACAUUUUGGCUUUUCUUAUUCUUUCCUUUCAAUAACUCUUAGAGAGAAUUUAUUAAUUUAAAAAAUAUGAAUAUUUUAAGGAUUAUAUAUACGUAUUAUAUAUAAAACAUGUGCUCCUAUCAGCAGUGUACAAAAGCAGGUGUCUAUUUCCCCCAUAACUGCUAAUACUGAACAUUCAUGUUUCAAAUAGUGAAAAGAAAUUGUAAACAUACUUUAUUUUACAUUACUAGUAAAAAUGAACUUUUUAACCACUUGUUAUUAUUGUGAGGAUGAAAUGACCA